GACAGAGGUCCCGAGCGUUAGGCGGAAUCACUGGGCUUAAAGCGUGUGUAGGCGGAUUUGUAAGUACCUUGUGAAAUCCCACGGCUUAACCGUGGAACUGCUUGGUAUACUGCUUAUCUUGGGCCACUUAGGGGUUACCGGAACAAACGGUGGAGCGGUGAAAUGCGUAGAUAUCGUUUGGAACGCCAAUGGUGAAAACAGCUCGCUGGGGGUUUGCUGACGCUGAGACACGAAAGCCAGGGGAGCAAACGGG
rnacentral:rRNA from 1 species